AUUUUAUUAGUUAUAGAAACAAAGUAUUAAAUGCAUGCUCCUAGGGGAAGGGUUGGUAGGAGUUAACCAUCGUGUGAUCCCGACUCUCACACAAAGAUUGACAAUCAUCAAACAAAUCAUGCUCCGACUAUAUCACAUAAUGGUUCACCAUACGUGCAAGUUACGGGGAUCACAAACUUUAACACAAGUAUUUCUUCCAAUGCACAAUUACUUACUAGCAUGACUCUCAUACUACCAUAUUCAUAUCUCAAACCUAUAUGCAAGGAAUCAAAC
rnacentral:lncRNA from 1 species